GAAAUGCGAUAAGCAAUGUGAAUUGCAGAAUUCAGUGAAUCAUCGAAUCUUUGAACGCACCUUGCGCUCCUUGGUAUUCCGAGGAGCAUGCCUGUUUGAGUGUCAUGGAAUUCUCAACUCUAUUUGCUUUUGUGAAUAGAGCUUGGAUUUGGAGGUUUAUUGCUGGUACUUGUGAUCGGCUCCUCUUGAAUGCAUUAGCUCGAACCUUUGCGGAUCAGCUAUCGGUGUGAUAAUUGUCUACGCCGUUGCAGUGAAGCAUAUCAAUGGGCUCGGCUUCCAAUCGUCCUUUACUGGACAAUGACUUUGACCUUUGACCUCAAAUCAGGUAGGAUUACCCGCUGAACUUAAGC
rnacentral:misc_RNA from 1 species